AACGCACGAGACCUGCGGACCUGCGGAAGGAUCAUUACCGAGUUCUCGCCCCUCGCGGGGUAGACCUCCCACCCACUGUGAUCACUACCGUCGUUGCUUUGGCGGGCCGCUGGGCCCAGCCCACCGCCGGCUCCGGCUGGCGCGUGCCCGCCAGAGGCCCUACAAACGCUGGAUAUCAGUGCCGUCUGAGUACACAUGUUAAUCGUUAAAACUUUCAACAACGGAUCUCUAGAUCGGAAG
rnacentral:misc_RNA from 1 species